AUGAGUAUCUUAUGUUGAAACUGUCGCGGUGUGGGCAAUCCCGCGACAGUCCUAGAGCUUCGCGACUUGGCGAGGCAGUUUGCCCCCUCUAUCCUAUGCCUUGUUCAAACUCAAAUAGAGGGCAGUAGAGUAGAGAAGCUAGUUGAUACUCUAGGUUCAAAAAGUUUUGCUAUUAGUAGUUCUGGUCGAAGUGAUGGAGUUGGUAUCUUUUGGAAUGGUUCAACAAAGCUCGAGGUUAUUGGUUACUCUGAGUAUCAUGUGGAUGUUGAGGUCGACUCACUGAUUGGUACCAAGGUUGGGUUUACUUUCAUAUAUGGAGAAGCACAGGUGAACAAGAGGUAUACAACUUAG
rnacentral:rRNA from 1 species